rnacentral:rRNA from 1 species
AGUGAACGCUGGCGGUAGGCCUAACACAUGCAAGUCGAACGGCAGCACAGGAGAGCUUGCUCUCUGGGUGGCGAGUGGCGGACGGGUGAGGAAUACAUCGGAAUCUACUCUGCCGUGGGGGAUAACGUAGGGAAACUUACGCUAAUACCGCAUACGACCUACGGGUGAAAGCAGGGGAUCUUCGGACCUUGCGCGAUUGAAUGAGCCGAUGUCGGAUGAGCUAGUUGGCGGGGUAAAGGCCCACCAAGGCGACGAUCCGUAGCUGGUCUGAGACGCUGAUCAGCCACACUGGAACUGAGGCACGGUCCAGACUCCUACGGGAGGCAGCAGUGGGGAAUAUUGGACAAUGGGCGCAAGCCUGAUCCAGCCAUACCGCGUGGGUGAAGAAGGCCUUCGGGUUGUAAAGCCCUUUUGUUGGGAAAGAAAUCCAGCUGGCUAAUACCCGGUUGGGAUGACGGUACCCAAAGAAUAAGCACCGGCUAACUUCGUGCCAGCCGCCGCCGUAA